rnacentral:rRNA from 1 species
AGUGAACGCUGGCGGUAGGCCUAACACAUGCAAGUCGAACGGCAGCACAGUAAGAGCUUGCUCUUACGGGUGGCGAGUGGCGGACGGGUGAGGAAUACAUCGGAAUCUACUUUUUCGUGGGGGAUAACGUAGGGAAACUUACGCUAAUACCGCAUACGACCUACGGGUGAAAUCAGGGGAUCUUCGGACCUUGCGCGAGUGAAUGAGCCGAUGUCGGAUUAGCUAGUUGGCGUGGUAAAGGCCCACCAAGGCGACGAUCCGUAGCUGGUCUGAGAGGAUGAUCAGCCACACUGGAACUGAGACACGGUCCAGACUCCUACGGGAGGCAGCAGUGGGGAAUAUUGGACAAUGGGCGCAAGCCUGAUCCAGCCAUACCGCGUGGGUGAAGAAGGCCUUCGGGUUGUAAAGCCCUUUUGUUGGGAAAGAAAAGCAGCAGGUUAAUACCCCGCUGUUCUGACGGUACCCAAAGAAUAAGCACCGGCUAACUUCGUG